GCGAUCAUACCACUACUAAUGCACAGGAUCCCUUCAGAACUCCGAAAUUAUGCGUACUUGGGCGAGAGCAAUACAAGGAUGGGUGACCCCCUGGGAAGUCCUUGUGUUGCACCU
rnacentral:rRNA from 1 species